CAGAAAUGAUUAGUCCCACAUAGUCCAUAUUUACACAUGCUUCUGUUGAAUCUGUUAUCACCAACAACCUAAAUUGAAAUAAAAUCCACCAAGUAGGGGCAAGCCACAAUUUAGGUUGUAUUGUUCCAUUAUGGCAAUACCACCAAACAAUGCCUAUAUAUUAAUAUAUUUCAUUAUGCAACCAAACUAAAUGCAUGACAUUCAAACAAACACCAAACACAAACAAGAAUCUCAAUUAAUAAAUUAAUAAAUUAUAUCAUAUGAUGGUGCUCACGACCUAUCUAUAAUUGCAUACAGCCAGCCAUACAUGUCCUUAUCAAAGUUCCUACCUUCUGCAUCAUUAGUCCCUCUUCAUAUUUGUCUCCUUUUUCAAAUGCUACUAUCACUCACAACCUGUAUUUACAUUUAUCUCAAUCAUAUGCAUUACUACAUUGGUAUAUUAUAAAUCAUUCUUCAUAUUUUUCAAUUACCAUAUUCUUAUAAUGUUAGCUAAAACAAAAGUUUCCCUCGAAACUUAUCAAGAAAAUGUUCAAAUUGUUUCAAGAUCUGUCUCUGAUAGAUUGCUGCUGAAAUUCUAUGAUGAGCCACAGUUUGAUUUUGAUUAUGAGAAAAGUGGAUUGUGGUCUCCUCCGGUUCAACGCACCGUGUUCUUGAGCUCACCAGGAAACAUAUUCACUCACCAAGAACUGCUUGAAAGACUAAGAAACCGAAAUGCACGAAGAAGAAUCAGAGUGUUCUGUUGUUCCUGACAGUGAAUGUGAAGAAACAAUGAAUGUGGAUUUUCAGCACUGCAUUAUGUUAGAGUACAAAGAAAAUCCAAAAUUUCAGUGUGAUUGAAUUAUUAUUUGAAUAUUUGUUUUCUUUCUCUAUUAAUUGAUGUAUGAUUUGUUGUAUAUGUUCAUUUAUGUAAGAAGCGUAUAGUAUAUUUAGUAUAUAUGAAUUUGUUAUGAAUUCUGAAUCAAUUCUUUUUAGAGGAGAUUCGUAAGGUACCUUUAUGAGGGUCCCUUUGAGACACUAGCAUGCUCCAACGGGUUUGGUUCAUUGAUUAAAGAUGGUAGUAGCCACGUGGUUUUUUUAUGUAGGACUCUGUCAAUAAUAUUCCUUAUCUGUUAGAUCAAUGUUUUGAUUAAUUAAUUAUAAAUAUUUUCGAAGAAAUUUGCUGUGA